rnacentral:rRNA from 1 species
GGAGGAAUAUUGGUCAAUGGGCGGGAGCCUGAACCAGCCAAGCCGCGUGAGGGAGGAAGGCCCUAUGGGUCGUAAACCUCUUUUGUCAGGGAACAAAAGCGAGUAUGUAUACUAGUCUGAGUGUACCUGAAGAAAAGCAUCGGCUAACUCCGUGCCAGCAGCCGCGGUAAUACGGAGGAUGCGAGCGUUAUCCGGAUUUAUUGGGUUUAAAGGGUGCGUAGGCGGCGGUGCAAGUCAGCGGUAAAAGCCCGGGGCUCAACCCCGGCGAGCCGUUGAAACUGCAGUGCUAGAGAAGGCGAGAGGUACGCGGAAUGCGCAGUGUAGCGGUGAAAUGCUUAGAUAUUGCGCAGAACUCCGAUUGCGAAGGCAGCGUACUGGCGCCUGACUGACGCUGAGGCACGAAAGCGUGGGGAUCGAACAGGAUUAGAUACC